GUUUGAUCCUGGCUCAGAUUGAACGCUGGCGGCGUGCCUAACACAUGCAAGUCGAGCGGUAACAGGUGUAGCAAUACAUGCUGACGAGCGGCGAACGGGUGAGUAAUGCUUUGGAAUCUUCCCAGUAGUGGGGAAUAACCAGUCGAAAGAUUGGCUAAUACCGCAUACGUCUGUAAAGGGAAAGCGGGGGCUCGUAAGACCUCGCGCUAUUGGAUGAGCCAAAGUCGGAUUAGCUAGUUGGUGGGGUAAUGGCCUACCAAGGCGACAAUCCGUAGCUGGUCUGAGAGGACGACCAGCCACACCGGAACUGAGACACGGUCCGGACUCCUACGGGAGGCAGCAGUGGGGAAUAUCGGACAAUGGGGGAAACCCUGAUCCAGCGACGCCGCGUGUGUGAAGAAGGCCUGCGGGUUGUAAAGCACUUUUAGUGGGGACAAAAAGCUACGGACUAAUAUUCUGUGGUCUUGAUUUAACCCAAAGAAAAAGCACCGGCUAACUCUGUGCCAGCAGCCGCGGUAAUACAGAGGGUGCGAGCGUUAAUCGGAAUUACUGGGCGUAAAGCGCGCGUAGACGGUUUUGUAAGUCAGAUGUGAAAUCCCUGGGCUCAACCUGGGAACUGCAUUUGAAACUGCAUGGCUAGAGUAUCGAAGAGGGAAGUGGAAUUUCCGGUGUAGCGGUGAAAUGCGUAGAUAUCGGAAGGAACACCAGUGGCGAAAGCGACUUCCUGGUCGAAUACUGACGUUCAUGUGCGAAAGCGUGGGGAGCAAACAGGAUUAGAUACCCUGGUAGUCCACGCCAUAAACGAUGACAACUAGAUGUUGGGAGGGUCUGCCUCUCGGUGUCGCAGCUAACGCGUUAAGUUGUCCGCCUGGGGAGUA
rnacentral:rRNA from 1 species